rnacentral:tRNA from 1 species
AAGAGAGUGGCAGAGUGAUUAUGCGGCUGGCUUGAAAUCAGCAAAUGGGGGUUUAAUUCCUUCCUUUCUUG